rnacentral:rRNA from 1 species
CUUUACUGCAACUUUGCAGUGGCGUUAGGAAUGGCAUGUGUAGGAUAGGUGGGAGGCUUUGAAGCAUGGGCGCCAGCUCGUGUGGAGCCGUCCUUGAAAUACCACCCUUGCAAUUCUUGACGUCUAACCGAGCCCCCUGAACCGGGGGCCGGGACCCUGCAUGGUGGGCAGUUUGACUGGGGCGGUCGCCUCCCAAAUGGUAACGGAGGCGCGCGAAGGUUGGCUCAGGGCGGUCGGAAAUCGCCCGGCGAGUGCAAUGGCAUAAGCCAGCCUGACUGCGAGACUGACAAGUCGAGCAGAGACGAAAGUCGGCCAUAGUGAUCCGGUGGUCCCGCGUGGAAGGGCCAUCGCUCAACGGAUAAAAGGUA